rnacentral:tRNA from 1 species
GGGGAGAUGCUGGAGUGGUUGAACAGGCAUACCUGGAAAGUAUGUGAACGGUCAAAAGUCGUUCCGAGGGUUCGAAUCCCUCUCUCCCCG